AGAGCGCACGGUGGAUGCCUAGGCACUAAUAGGCGAAGAAGGACGCGACUAACAGCGAAAUGCUACGGGGAGCAGUAAGUAGGCAAAGAUCCGUAGGUAUCCGAAUGGGGAAACCCACUAGUUAGAAGAGCUAGUAUCGAAUAAUGAAUACAUAGUUAUUCGAGGCGAACCCGGGGAACUGAAACAUCUAAGUACCCGGAGGAAAAGAGAACAAAAGUAAUUCCCUAAGUAGAGGCGAUUGAAAGGGGAGGAGCCCAGCACCAUGAAGAGUUAGAAAAUCUUUUUAUAGUAGAAUUGUAUUGGAAAAGCAAGACAAAGAAGGUGAAAUCCCUGUAUACGAAAUAAAGAGAUCUCGGUGUCGGAGUAGGGCGGAGCACGAGGAAUUCUGUCUGAAUAAGUGAGGACCAUCUCAUAAGGCUAAAUACUCAUUAGUGACCGAUAGUGAACCAGUACUGUGAAGGAAAGGUGAAAAGAACCCCUGGCGGGGAGUGAAAAGAACCUGAAACCGUGUGCUUACAAACAGUUAGAGCCCGUCAAAGGGUGAUAGCGUGCCUUUUGUAGAAUGAGCCGGCGAGUUACGUUAAUGUGCGAGGUUAAGUUUUAAGGGACGGAGCCGAAGCGAAAGCGAGUCUGAAGAGGGCGAAAUAGUAGAUUGACGUAUACCCGAAACCGGGUGAUCUAGCCAUGAGCAGGUUGAAGCUUGGGUAAAACCAGGUGGAGGACCGAACCAGGGUCUGUUGAAAAAGACUUGGAUGACUUGUGGCUAGGGGUGAAAUUCCAAUCGAACCCGGAGAUAGCUGGUUCUCCCCGAAAUAGCUUUAGGGCUAGCGUUAUGGAGAAGAGUUAUACGAAGGUAGAGCACUGAAUGGGUGAGGGCCUCAUCUCGAGGUACUGAUCUCAAUCAAACUCCGAAUGUCGUAUAAUAUACAUAGCAGUAAGACUAUGGGUGAUAAGGUUCAUAGUCAAAAGGGAAACAGCCCAGACCGCCAGUUAAGGUCCCAAAAUUAUGCUAAGUGGGAAAGGAGGUGGAGUCGCAUAGACAACUAGGAGGUUGGCUUAGAAGCAGCCAUCCUUUAAAGAGUGCGUAAUAGCUCACUAGUCGAGUGAUUCUGCGCCGAAAAUGUAUCGGGGCUAAGCAUAAUACCGAAGCUGCGGGAUUAGACAAAGAGUCUAAUCGGUAGGGGAGCGUACUAAACGCGAAGAAGGUUGACCGGAAGGGCAGCUGGAGAGUUUAGCAGUGAGAAUGCCGGUGUGAGUAGCGAUAAGAUGGGUGAGAAUCCCAUCCGUCGGAAGCCUAAGGGUUCCAGGGGUAAGGCUCGUCCGCCCUGGGUAAGUCGGGACCUAAGGUGAGGCCGAAAGGCGUAGCCGAUGGAUAUCAGGUUGAUAAUCCUGGACCACCGUAGAGCUGAAGGAGUGACGGAGGAGGGAAGUUAGGAUGGACUGGUGGAAUAGUCUAAUGAAGCACAAAGAGGGAUACGUAGGAAAAGCCGCGUAUUGAAACCUUGAAGUGUAAACCGCAAGGCCUAAUGGACCACACUUCCAAGAAAAGCUUCUAGGAGUACUUUAUGGUGCCCGUACCGUAAACGGACACACGUAGGCGAGGAGAGAAUCCAAAGACGCGCGAGAUAAUUCUUGUUAAGGAACUCUGCAAAAUGACCCUGUAACUUCGGGAUAAAGGGGACUCUAGAGAUAGAGGCGCAGAAAAUAGGCCCAAGCGACUGUUUAACAAAAACAUAGGUUUCUGCUAAAGCGAAAGCUGAUGUAUAGGAGCUGACGCCUGCCCAGUGCUGGAAGGUUAAGAGGAGAUGUAAGUCGCAAGGCAAAGCAUUGAAUUGAAGCCCCAGUAAACGGCGGCCGUAACUAUAACGGUCCUAAGGUAGCGAAAUUCCUUGUCAGGUAAGUUCUGACCCGCACGAAAGGCGUAACGAUUUGGGCGCUGUCUCAACAAGAAACUCGGUGAAAUCAUAGUACCUGUGAAGAUGCAGGUUACCCGCGAUCAGACGGAAAGACCCCAUGGAGCUUCACUGCAGCUUAAUAUUGAUAUUGGGUGUGUGAUGUACAGGAUAGGUGGGAGACGAAGAAGCGAGUACGCUAGUAUUCGUGGAGUCAACGUUGGGAUACCACCCUUCAUACAUUUAGUAUCUAACUAGUAUCCAUAAUCUGGGUAUAGAACAG
rnacentral:rRNA from 1 species